GCCAGACUCCUACGGGAGGCAGCAGUGGGGAAUAUUGGACAAUGGGGGGAACCCUGAUCCAGCGACGCCGCGUGAGUGAAGAAGUAUUUCGGUAUGUAAAGCUCUAUCAGCAGGGAAGAAAGAAAUGACGGUACCUGACUAAGAAGCCCCGGCUAACUACGUGCAAGCAGCCGCGGAAAUACGUAGGGGGCAGGCGUUAUCCGGAUUUACUGGGUGUAAAGGGAGCGUAGACGGCAGUGCAAGUCUGAAGUGAAAGGCGGGGGCCCAACCCCCGGACUGCUUUGGAAACUGUGCUGCUGGAGUGCAGGAGAGGCAAGUGGAAUUCCGUGUGUAGCGGUGAAAUGCGUAGAUAUACGGAGGAACACCAGUGGCGAAGGCGGAUUGCUGGACAGUAACUGACGCUGAGGCGCGAAAGCGUGGGGAGCAAACAGGAUUAGAUACCCCCGUAGCC
rnacentral:rRNA from 1 species